UCUGACCGAGCAACGCCGCGUGAACGAUGAAGUAUUUCGGUACGUAAAGUUCUUUUAUUAGGGAAGAAUAAAUGAUGGAAAAAUCAUUCUGACGGUACCUAAUGAAUAAGCCCCGGCUAACUAUGUGCCAGCAGCCGCGGUAAUACAUAGGGGGCAAGCGUUAUCCGGAAUUAUUGGGCGUAAAGGGUGCGUAGGCGGUUAAAUAAGUUUAUGGUCUAAGUGCAAUGCUCAACAUUGUGAUGCUAUAAAAACUGUUUAGCUAGAGUAAGAUAGAGGCAAGUGGAAUUCCAUGUGUAGUGGUAAAAUGCGUAAAUAUAUGGAGGAACACCAGUAGCGAAGGCGGCUUGCUGGGUCUUUACUGACGCUGAGGCACGAAAGCGUGGGGAGCAAACAGGAUUAGAUACCCUGGUAGUCCACGCCGUAAACGAUGAGUACUAAACGUUGGGUAAAACCAGUGUUGAAGUUAACACAUUAAGUACUCCGCCUGAGUAGUACGUACGCAAGUAUGAAACUUAAAGGAAUUGACGGGACUCCGCACAAGCGGUGGAUCAUGUUGUUUAAUUCGAAGGUACCCGAAAAACCUCACCAGGUCUUGACAUGCUUCUGCAAAGCUGUAGAAACACAGUGGAGGUUAUCAGUUGCACAGGUGGUGCAUGGUUGUCGUCAGCUCGUGUCGUGAGAUGUUGGGUUAAGUCCCGCAACGAGCGCAACCCUUAUUGUUAGUUACCAGCACGUAAUGGUGGGGACUUUAGCAAGACUGCCAGUGAUGAAUUGGAGGAAGGUGGGGACGACGUCAAAUCAUCAUGCCCCUUAUGACCUGGGCUACAAACGUGAUACAAUGGCUGUUA
rnacentral:rRNA from 1 species